rnacentral:rRNA from 1 species
GUCUACUGCCAUACCACCCUGAACGUGCCAGAUCCCAUCUGAUCUCGGAAGCUAAGCAGGGACAGGCCUGUAAUCCUGUGAUUACAGGCCUGUCCACAGGAUGUUCCAGUGAGCCAAGAUUGCACCACUGCCCUCCAGCCUGGGUACUUGGAUGGGAGGAAUAGACC